rfam:Dipodomys ordii contig_39547, whole genome shotgun sequence.
GGGAAUGUGGCUCAGUGGUAGAGUGCUUGCCUAGCAUGCAUGAAACCCUGGGUUUGAUUCCUUAGUAUAACUU